CCUGGUGGCUCAGAUGGUAAAGCAUCUGCCUGUAACGCAGGAGACCUGGGUUCGAUUCCUGGGUCAGGA
rnacentral:tRNA from 1 species